UACGAAGGGGGCGAGCGUUGUUCGGAUUUACUGGGCGUAAAGGGCGCGCAGGCGGCGCAUUUUGUCAGGCGUGAAAGCCCCGGGCUUAACCUGGGGACUGCAUUUGAUACUGAUUGGCUUGAAUUCGGGAGAGGAUAGCGGAAUUCCCAGUGUAGAGGUGAAAUUCGUAGAUAUUGGGAAGAACACCGGUGGCGAAGGCGGCUAUCUGGACCGACAUUGACGCUGAGGCGCGAAAGCGUGGGGAGCAAACAGG
rnacentral:rRNA from 1 species